rnacentral:lncRNA from 1 species
UCACCUAUUUGAACAACUGUAGUGGACCCACCACACCAUUUGUCAUGGUCAUCAAUUAAGCCAGCAAGUUUGAAGGCUUGUUUGGUUUUUUGGAAAUCACCAUGUAAGUCACCUAUUGCAAUUAAACGAUUAGGAGAAGGUAAUAUAGUUUGGUUUGGUGAUGAAGUGAUUGUUGGCUGUGGGGGUAAAAAGAGGCCUCCACUAAACGAUUAGGAGAAGGGAAUAUAGUUUGGUUUGGUGAUGAAGUGAUUGUUGGCUGUGGGGGUAAAAAGAGGCCUCCACUGACAGAGAAAUCGAUGAAUGUGUCAACGAAAGAGGAGAAGAUGGUUGGGACAUUUUGGCAUGUUAGAUUGGAUU